rnacentral:rRNA from 1 species
UGGCGACCGGCGCACGGGUGAGUAACACGUAUGCGACCUGCCCCCCGCAGGGGGAUAACCGGGAGAAAUCCCGACUAAUACCGCGUAACGCCGCGGACCUGCAUGGGUCUGCGGCCAAAGGAAGCGAUUCCGGCGGGGGAUGGGCAUGCGGCGCAUUAGCUAGUCGGCGGGGUAACGGCCCACCGAGGCGACGAUGCGUAGGGGUUCUGAGAGGAAGGUCCCCCACACUGGUACUGAGACACGGACCAGACUCCUACGGAAGGCAGCAG